GAUGAACGCUAGCGGCAGGCUUAACACAUGCAAGUCGAGGGGUAUAGUUCUUCGGAACUAGAGACCGGCGCACGGGUGCGUAACGCGUAUGCAAUCUACCUUUCACAGAGGGAUAGCCCAGAGAAAUUUGGAUUAAUACCUCAUAGUAUAUCGAGUUGGCAUCAACAUGAUAUUAAAGUCACAACGGUGAAAGAUGAGCAUGCGUCCCAUUGGCUAGUUGGUAAGGUAACGGCUUACCAAGGCAACGAUGGGUAGGGGUCCUGAGAGGGAGAUCCCCCACACUGGUACUGAGACACGGACCAGACUCCUACGGGAGGCAGCAGUGAGGAAUUUUGGACAAUGGGGGCAACCCUGAUCCAGCCAUGCCGCGUGCAGGAUGACGGUCCUAUGGAUUGUAAACUGCUUUUGCACAGGAAGAAACACUACUUCGUGAAGUAGCUUGACGGUACUGUGAGAAUAAGGAUCGGCUAACUCCGUGCCAGCAGCCGCGGUAAUACGGAGGAUCCAAGCGUUAUCCGGAAUCAUUGGGUUUAAAGGGUCCGUAGGCGGUUUAGUAAGUCAGUGGUGAAAGCCCAUCGCUCAACGGUGGAACGGCCAUUGAUACUGCUAAACUUGAAUUAUUAGGAAGUAACUAGAAUAUGUAGUGUAGCGGUGAAAUGCUUAGAGAUUACAUGGAAUACCAAUUGCGAAGGCAGGUUACUACUAAUGGAUUGACGCUGAUGGACGAAAGCGUGGGUAGCGAACAGGAUUAGAUACCCUGGUAGUCCACGCCGUAAACGAUGGAUACUAGCUGUUGGAAGCAAUUUCAGUGGCUAAGCGAAAGUGAUAAGUAUCCCACCUGGGGAGUACGUUCGCAAGAAUG
rnacentral:rRNA from 1 species